ACCCCCCACCCAAAACCAAAAAAUCCCCCUUCCAUCCCAAAAUCUCUAUUCCCUCGUAUUAGCUAGGUCUUAACUUAGGAAAAAAUAAUGGAAAAAGAUAACCCUAGCCAAGCCCUCUUUCAUUCUUGCUCCCUGACCUAUUCGUCGUGCAAAACCCUCGUUGUCUUGCUUCAACCAUCUCAGUGUGCCGUCACCGUCGCCGUCGCCAUUCCAUCUUCUCAAACGCAGAACUAGAACCAGUUGCCAGUUGCCAGUUACGCAGAACCAGUUUCACGAAGUUGCCGCGCCUUCACCGGUCACCAAUUCGUCACCGCUCUGCCACUCCUUUGUCACCUCUUUGCUGUGCUUCGUUUCCAUCUUCGCCGCCGUUCCUAGUUGUUGUUCCCAAAGAUAGCGAACGAGGAGUGCAUUUUAGAAUGAUUGGUAGCUUUAUUUGUGCAAUGGUGAUUGGUUAGAACUUGAGAAGAGGAUUAGGGAGCGAGCAGAAAGGGAGUUGCUGCAAGCUACUGGUUAGGCAUAUGCUAAGGAUUAAUGGUAUUCUGUUGGGAAAUAUUUAUAAGUUGAUGGUGGCAAGAAGAAGGGUGGAGGUGGAUUUCAAGUGAGGAAGAGAAAGGUGAAGACCAAGUUGACAGGCAAUGGAGCUUGAUAAAUGAGGAUGACAUAUCUAUGAAGAAAAUAUUUUUCAUAGCAAUAUGAGAUGGGAUGGGUCACAUAUAUAUAUUUUUAGUUAUCUAAAUGUAAUAUUUUAAUGUGUUCUGUACUUUUUGUAAACAGACUUUAUCCGGUAUUAUAUGUAAUGGAUAAAUUACACUCUACCUUUAUUUGUGUUGUUUGGACUAAAAGCAUAUCUAGCUUAAAAUAUAAUUUUUAUGAUUUA